CAAAAUAAUGAUUGUAAUUAGACUGCUGGGAAAACAUCGGUUUAUAGGAGCUAGAACAUGUUUCUGAGGACAGAAAGUCCUACUCAACAGACCUCCGCUGGAAAUGUACGGCAGGCACUCAGAACCUUCACUUCUGUGGACAUCCUCUCUGCCUCCUUCCACUCAAAAAUAACAAACUAAACAAAAAUCCACUUCCGGGCUGGAGAGAUGGCUCAACAGUUAGGAAUGCUUACUGCUCUUGAAGAAGACACCCAGCGCCCUCAUUGGCUGGAUCCAAUCAUCUGUGACUCCAGCUCCAGUUCCAGGGCUCCAGGGGAUCUGAUGUCCUGCCCUGAACUCCGUAAGAACCAGGCUCACACAUCAGAGAUAUGCAGGUAAAAGGAUAUAAAAAAAGGAGGAGGAGGAGGAAGAGGAAGAGGA